GGAGAAAGAAAUUCGUACAUCUAGGAGCUAUAGAACUAGUACCGCAAGGGAAAGAUGAAAGACUAAUUAAAAGUAAGAACAAGCAAAGAUUAAACCUUGUACCUUUUGCAUAAUGAACUAACUAGAAAACUUCUAACUAAAAGAAUUACAGCUAGAAACCCCGAAACCAAACGAGCUACCUAAAAACAAUUUUAUGAAUCAACUCGUCUAUGUGGCAAAAUAGUGAGAAGAUUUUUAGGUAGAGGUGAAAAGCCUAACGAGCUUGGUGAUAGCUGGUUACCCAAAAAAUGAAUUUAAGUUCAAUUUUAAACUUGCUAAAAAAACAACAAAAUCAAAAAGUAAGUUUAGAUUAUAGCCAAAAGAGGGACAGCUCUUCUGGAACGGAAAAAACCUUUAAUAGUGAAUAAUUAACAAAACAGCUUUUAACCAUUGUAGGCCUAAAAGCAGCCACCAAUAAAGAAAGCGUUCAAGCUCAACAUAAAAUUUCAAUUAAUUCCAUAAUUUACACCAACUUCCUAAACUUAAAAUUGGGUUAAUCUAUAACUUUAUAGAUGCAACACUGUUAGUAUGAGUAACAAGAAUUCCAAUUCUCCAGGCAUACGCGUAUAACAACUCGGAUAACCAUUGUUAGUUAAUCAGACUAUAGGCAAUAAUCACACUAUAAAUAAUCCACCUAUAACUUCUCUGUUAACCCAACACCGGAAUGCCUAAAGGAAAGAUCCAAAAAGAUAAAAGGAACUCGGCAAACAAGAACCCCGCCUGUUUACCAAAAACAUCACCUCUAGCAUUACAAGUAUUAGAGGCACUGCCUGCCCAGUGACUAAAGUUUAACGGCCGCGGUAUCCUGACCGUGCAAAGGUAGCAUAAUCACUUGUUCCUUAAUUAGGGACUAGCAUGAACGGCUAAACGAGGGUCCAACUGUCUCUUAUCUUUAAUCAGUGAAAUUGACCUUUCAGUGAAGAGGCUGAAAUAUAAUAAUAAGACGAGAAGACCCUAUGGAGCUUAAAUUAUAUAACUUAUCUAUUUAAUUUAUUAAACCUAAUGGCCCAAAAACUAUAGUAUAAGUUUGAAAUUUCGGUUGGGGUGACCUCGGAGAAUAAAAAAUCCUCCGAAUGAUUAUAACCUAGACUUACAAGUCAAAGUAAAAUCAACAUAUCUUAUUGACCCAGAUAUAUUUUGAUCAACGGACCAAGUUACCCUAGGGAUAACAGCGCAAUCCUAUUUAAGAGUUCAUAUCGACAAUUAGGGUUUACGACCUCGAUGUUGGAUCAGGACAUCCCAAUGGUGUAGAAGCUAUUAAUGGUUCGUUUGUUCAACGAUUAAAGUCCUACGUGAUCUGAGUUCAGACCGGAGCAAUCCAGGUCGGUUUCUAUCUAUUUACGAUUUCUCCCA
rnacentral:rRNA from 2 species